rnacentral:rRNA from 1 species
GACGAACGCUGGCGGCGUGCUUAACACAUGCAAGUCGAACGGAAAGGCCCUGCUUUUGUGGGGUGCCCGAGUGGCGAACGGGUGAGUAACACGUGAGUAACCUGCCCUUGACCUUGGGAUAACUUCAGGAAACUGGGGCUAAUACCGGAUAGGAGCUCCUGCUGCAUGGUGGGGGUUGGAAAGUUUCGGCGGUUGGGGAUGGACUCGCGGCUUAUCAGCUUGUUGGUGGGGUAGUGGCUUACCAAGGCUUUGACGGGUAGCCGGCCUGAGAGGGUGACCGGCCACAUUGGGACUGAGAUACGGCCCAGACUCCUACGGGAGGCAGCAGUGGGGAAUAUUGCACAAUGGGCGGAAGCCUGAUGCAGCAACGCCGCGUGCGGGAUGACGGCCUUCGGGUUGUAAACCGCUUUCGCCUGUGACGAAGCGUGAGUGACGGUAAUGGGUAAAGAAGCACCGGCUAACUACGUG